UACGUAGGGUGCAAGCGUUGUCCGGAAUUAUUGGGCGUAAAGAGCUCGUAGGCGGUUUGUCGCGUCUGCUGUGAAAACUGGAGGCUCAACCUCCAGCCUGCAGUGGGUACGGGCAGACUAGAGUGCGGUAGGGGAGAUUGGAAUUCCUGGUGUAGCGGUGGAAUGCGCAGAUAUCAGGAGGAACACCGAUGGCGAAGGCAGAUCUCUGGGCCGUAACUGACGCUGAGGAGCGAAAGCGUGGGGAGCGAACGGG
rnacentral:rRNA from 1 species